AAGUCGUGAUCAAAACAUUCGUCGAGAGCCUCAAUAAAACUCUCACAUGCAGCACUAAGACUUUUAUUACUUUCUUGUUUAAAAGCAAUAAUCUCGUUACAAAGAU